AAUGCCCUAGAGGGGUUGCUGGUGUGACUGCUGUAUCACAUGUGUGUCAGUAGGUGGCAGAGGAGAAGCUGUGUCUAUGCUCAGUGCUCUGACCUGUGGACAUCUGAAUGAUUGAUGAGUAGCCUAACAUU